rnacentral:rRNA from 1 species
UCCAAAUUGCGGGUGCAAUACAUGCGUCGAGCGGACAGAAGGGAGCUUGCUCCCGGAUGUUAGCGGCGGACGGGUGAGUAACACGUGGGUAACCUGCCUGUAAGACUGGGAUAACUCCGGGAAACCGGAGCUAAUACCGGAUAGUUCCUUGAACCGCAUGGUUCAAGGAUGAAAGACGGUUUCGGCUGUCACUUACAGAUGGACCCGCGGCGCAUUAGCUAGUUGGUGAGGUAACGGCUCACCAAGGCGACGAGCGUAGCCGACCUGAGAGGGUGAUCGGCCACACUGGGACUGAGACACGGCCCAGACUCCUACGGGAGGCAGCAGUAGGGAAUCUUCCGCAAUGGACGAAAGUCUGACGGAGCAACGCCGCGUGAGUGAUGAAGGUUUUCGGAUCGUAAAGCUCUGUUGUUAGGGAAGAACAAGUGCAAGAGUAACUGCUUGCACCUUGACGGUACCUAACCAGAAAGCCACGGCUAACUACGUGCCAGCAGCCGCGGUAAUACGUAGGUGGCAAGCGUUGUCCGGAAUUAUUGGGCGUAAAGGGCUCGCAGGCGGUUUCUUAAGUCUGAUGUGAAAGCCCCCGGCUCAACCGGGGAGGGUCAUUGGAAACUGGGAAACUUGAGUGCAGAAGAGGAGAGUGGAAUUCCACGUGUAGCGGUGAAAUGCGUAGAGAUGUGGAGGAACACCAGUGGCGAAGGCGACUCUCUGGUCUGUAACUGACGCUGAGGAGCGAAAGCGUGGGGAGCGAACAGGAUUAGAUACCCUGGUAGUCCACGCCGUAAACGAUGAGUGCUAAGUGUUAGGGGGUUUCCGCCCCUUAGUGCUGCAGCUAACGCAUUAAGCACUCCGCCUGGGGAGUACGGUCGCAAGACUGAACUCAAAGGAAUUGACGGGGGCCCGCACAAGCGGUGGAGCAUGUGGUUUAAUUCGA